rnacentral:rRNA from 1 species
UUCUGGCAUCGAUGAAGAACGCAGCGAAAUGCGAUAAGUAAUGUGAAUUGCAGAAUUCAGUGAAUCAUCGAAUCUUUGAACGCACAUUGCGCCCCUUGGUAUUCCGGGGGGCAUGCCUGUUCGAGCGUCAUUACAACCCUCAAGCUCUGCUUGGAAUUG